rnacentral:rRNA from 1 species
UACGGGGGGGGCAAGCGUUGUUCGGAAUUACUGGGCGUAAAGGGCUCGUAGGCGGUCUGUCGCGUCUGCUGUGAAAACUCAGGGCUUAACCCUGAGCUUGCAGUGGGUACGGGCAGACUAGAGUGCGGUAGGGGAGACUGGAAUUCCUGGUGUAGCGGUGAAAUGCGCAGAUAUCAGGAGGAACACCGGUGGCGAAGGCGGCAUCCUGGACCGACACUGACGCUGAGGAGCGAAAGCCAGGGGAGCAAACGGG